CAGUCGCCGCGGUAAUACGAAGGGUGCAAGCGUUACUCGGAAUUACUGGGCGUAAAGCGUGCGUAGGUGGUGGUUUAAGUCCGUUGUGAAAGCCCUGGGCUCAACCUGGGAAUUGCAGUGGAUACUGCGUCACUAGAGUGUGGUAGAGGAUAGUGGAAUUUCCGGUGUAGCAGUGAAAUGCGUAGAGAUCGGAAGGAACAUCUGUGGCGAAGGCGACUAUCUGGGCCAACACUGACACUGAGGCACGAAAGCGUGGGGAGCAAACAGGAUUAGAUACCCCAGUAGUCCCUGUCUCUUAUAC
rnacentral:rRNA from 1 species